UGUGUGUGUGUGUGUGUGUGUGUGUGUGUGUGUGUGUGCGCACGCGCGCACGCGCAUGCACAUACAUGCACACGCACAGCAG
rnacentral:miRNA from 1 species